CUUAACUUGCCGGUAGUGGUGGCUCGUGACUUUUCAAAAAGAAAGAAUGUAAACAGCGUUGUGGUUCACCAGACCACAUACUUUGACCACACUGGAGCCAACCAACCAAUCGACUUGAAGAGCCAGUUUCAGGCAUAAUCUAUUGACACUCAUCUGUAAACGGAGAUUUAGCUGCUGCUUCCCAACUCCACGUUCCACAGGUCUUUUUCAAAUUUGCAUAUGUGACACUUGACCUCUUCCUGAGAAAAGUUCCCCAGUGACUCGCGACCUGCUCCCGUCUGGGCUGAGGGCCUUGACACCUGAUGUCAGCCUGGAAUCUCACUUCACUGCCACCCUGGGGAUUCCCUUUGCCUCUAUUCUAUGCUGGAUAUUCUAUUUACUUCAUCAAAGGCUUUUCUUGAUUUAGUCUUUAUUCUACCCUUAAACUUGAUCAAAGUUAGACUGGGUGUGGAAUUUCAGGUUAAAAAUAAUUUGCCUUUAUAAUUUUGAAAGCCUUGUUCCAUUCUAUCUGCUUUCAUGUUAUUAUUGAGGAAUUUAGAGCUAUUCUGCUUUAUAGCUUCCAAAAUGGCCUCCUUUUCUAUUCUCUUCCUUGUGGCUUUGUCUUAAAAAAUAAAAAUAACUGUUAUUUUAGUGGGUUUUUGAGGAGUAAAAUUAAAUGUGUGUCCAGUUUCACACAGCUGGCCUCUGGGUGAGCUUGUUGCUCUUAUCAAGCUAGUACCUUCUCUUAAUUGCUUACCGCCCAAAUCUCCAUCUCCAUUGUUUUUGACAGAACCCUUAGGUGGGAGUUUCUCCACACUCUGUUCCAAACAAAUCAGUUUACUAGGGGAGAACUUCAGAACUCUCUGUUCUUAGGGCUUUCACUCCUCCUGGGGAAAAAUAUUUGAGACACUGCUAUGGAGGUGAGGGCGCAGACCACGGCCUGCUUCUGCUGGAGUGGCACCUCUGUUUUUGGAGCAUGAUGCUCCGUGGGACAGUAGCUUCUGGUCUUUUCAGUUAGCCUCUUCCUGCAUGGUACCUCCCCUCUGUGAACAAGCUGGGGCCAAGGUGACCAGGGCUCCAGUUUUCUUGGCCUGAUAACUCUGGGAGAGAGCCCUUGCCUUCUGUUUGGGUGGAAAAAGGAAGGCCCGGACCUCUCGGCUGCCCUUGCCUGGAAUUCAGCCUUUGCAACACAGAAGUAGGGAUGUGAGGAAUGGCAGCAGCCUGCCCCUCCCAGGGAGAUGCCAUAGCCCUGGCUGAGAGCUGGGGGCACUGCAACCAGUGUGUCUGCGGCGCCUGCUCUGGGAGAGUGGGGCGCUUUUCGCAUGUUGAACUGGGCGGAAGGGAUGAGAAGGUUGCAGCUUAAGUCCAAACACUAUCACUGCUCUUACUGAGAUUUAUUAGAUUUUCUUACAUAAAUGUUUCUUCAUUUGUUGCAUGUCCUGAGGACAAUUAAAAAAUUUUCCCUUUGGACAGGAGGUUACACCAUGUUUGUGAUACUCUUUGAGGAGAGUAAUGGGCUUACCACCUGCAACACGGUCCAGUCAGGGAUUCAAUGGCUCCCUUUAUUACUUACAGCCUGUUUCAUUCGUGUGUGUUUCAUCCUUUUCUUCUUUCUGGUCCUUCACUUCCCACAUUCUUUCUGUUCUUCACCUUGGGAAGGCAGGUU